AGCAGGCUCAGUGCUGUCAGCACAGAGCCUGAAGCAAGGCUUGAACUCAUGAAACCAUGAGAUCAUGACCUGAGCCCAAACCAAGAGUCAGGCGCCUAACCGACUGAGCCACCCAAGCAUCCCAUGUCUUCUGAUUCUUCUUGAAUAAGCACAUUGAAUAUAUCAUCCCACUCCCUUCUGCUUUGAAGAAUUCUGCUUGAAAAAACAUGCUGAUACUCGUAAAGAGGUUCAGGGAGCAGCUGAGACAGAAGGCAGUCAAAUUUCCCUUGCCAGGGAGAAUCCUGGAUGUUUUUACCUGCUUUCCUCUGUGCGGAGCCCGAGGACAGACAAAGAGAGACAGCAUGAGUGGGGGAGAAGCAGAGAGAGAGGGAGACACAGAAUCCG